ACUACACGGUAUCUACACACUUGCUACAUAAUGUCAGGAGAAAGAGGGUAUGGACAACAGGCAAAACGGCCCAGAAAAUGCAACACAUACAGAAGAGAGCAGCAGUGUGACCGUCUUACCCUCAGAUAUAUUUCGUAAAUAUACGAAUGAGAAAACGAAGCCCAUUUUAUUUAAACAGGAUAAAACUUGAGUUAGAUUACGAAAAGAAUACUAAUAAUAUGGAAUGAUGGUUGAUUCAAUACCUGAUUCGAAAAGAGCCAAUAGCUGCUUCAAAGAGAGCAGCCGGAGAGCGAUACUAUCGACUGAAUACGAGUGGUGCGCGCGAAAGCGAAAAUGUUUAAAUGUGAAUAAUUGAGAACGAUAUAAAUAGACGCAAUCCAUUGCAAGAAAUUAUGCUGGGAAGCACGGUUUGAGAGAGCCAAAAUUGUACGCCAUGUUUUUUAAUAUACCAUUAAAAAUUAUAUGGUUGCAGCUAGUAUUUGGACGAGUAGAAGAUAACAUCCUAACAGCAGUUCUAAUUCUAAGCAGUCUAAUUAUUUUUGUAAUUUAUAUAUAUGCACACAUGUUUAUGCCGUAAAA